GACGGAGGGUGCUAGCGUUGUUCGGAAUACUGGGCGUAAAGGGCGCGUAGGCGGCCUUGCAAGUCGGUUGGUGAAAGCCCGGGGCUCAACCCCGGAGGUGCGGCCGAGACUGCAGGGCUGGAGGCCGGAAGAGGAGGGUGGAAUACCCAGUGUAGAGGUGAAAUUCGUAGAUAUUGGGUGGAACACCGGUGGCGAAAGCGGCUCUCUGGUCCGGACCUGACGCUGAGGCGCGAAAGCGUGGGGAGCAAACAGG
rnacentral:rRNA from 1 species